GGGGAAAAUUAAUAAUAUAAUUAUAAUAAAAAAAAUUUUAAUAUUAAAAAGAAAUAAUGGGGGUUUAAGUAUUUUUAAUAGAAAAAAUUAAUAUUUUUAUAGUUAAAUAUUACUGUAAAGGAAUUUAUAAAUAAAUGAAAAAUAAUUAAUUUAAAAGUAAAUUUAAAUUAUUGUAUCUUGUGUAUCAGAGUUUAUUAAAUAAUAAAAAUUUAUUUAAAUAAAUCUCGAAUUUAAAAGAGUUAAUUAAUUAAAAAAGUUAAUGUUGAAUAAUUAUUUUUAAUAAUUAAUUAGAAAUGAAAUGUUAAUCGUUUUUAAAUAUAUCUAGUUUUUUUAGAAAAAAAUUUAAUUUUAUAUUUAAAUAAUUUUAUAAUUAUUUAAUUAAUUAUAAAAAUUUAAAAUUUAAUAUUUUGGGGGAUAAGCUUUAAAUUAAAAAUUUAUAAUAAAAAUUAAUUUAAAUUAAAAUUUUUAAUAUUUAUAUUGUUUAAAAAUUAUAGUUUAUUAUAAAAAAUUUUAAUUAAUAAUAAAAUUUAAAUAAAAAUUUAAAUUUUUAUAAAAAAAUAAUUUUUAAUAAGAAAAAAUUAGAAAUAAUGAUAAAAUUAGUAUAAUUAAUAAAUUAAAUUAAAAUUAAUAUUAAGUUAAAUUAAAGGAAUUCGGCAAAAAUUUAUAUUCACUUGUUUAUCAAAAACAUGUCUUUUUGAUAAUAAUUUAAAGUCUAAUCUGCCCACUGAUAAUAUAUUAAAGGGCUGCAGUAUAUUGACUGUACAAAGGUAGCAUAAUCAUUAGUCUUUUAAUUGGAGACUUGUAUGAAAGAUUUGAUGAAAUAUAAACUGUCUCUAAUUUAUAAUUAGAAAUUAAUUUUUUAGUUAAAAAGCUAAAAUAAAAUUAAAAGACGAGAAGACCCUAUAGAGUUUUAUAUUUUAUUUAUUUAUUAUUAAAUAUAAAAUUAAAUAUAAUUAAUUAAAUAAAAUAUUUUAUUGGGGUGAUAGAAAAAUUUAAUAAACUUUUUUUAUUUAAUUUACAUUAAUAAGUGAUUAAUUGAUCCAUUUUUAGUGAUUAUAAGAAAAAAUUACCUUAGGGAUAACAGCGUAAUAUUUUUUUUUAGUACAAAUAAAAAAAAGAGAUUGCGACCUCGAUGUUGGAUUAAGAUAAAAUUUAAAUGCAAAAGUUUAAAAUUUUGAUCUGUUCGAUCAUUAAAAUCUUACAUGAUCUGAGUUCAAACCGGUGUAAGCCAGGUUGGUUUCUAUCUUUAAUAAAAUAAAAUAUUUUAGUACGAAAGGAUCAAAUAUUUAAAAUAAUUUUAUUUUAAAUGAAUAUUAAUAAAAAUAGUUUUA
rnacentral:rRNA from 1 species